rnacentral:rRNA from 1 species
AUUCCAUGUGUAGCGGUGAAAUGCGUAGAUAUAUGGAGGAACACCAGUGGCGAAGGCGGCUCUCUGGUCUGUAACUGACGCUGAGGCUCGAAAGCGUGGGGAGCAAACAGGAUUAGAUACCCUGGUAGUCCACGCCGUAAACGAUGAGUGCUAAGUGUUGGAGGGUUUCCGCCCUUCAGUGCUGCAGCUAACGCAUUAAGCACUCCGCCUGGGGAGUACGACCGCAAGGUUGAAACUCAAAGGAAUUGACGGGGGCCCGCACAAGCGGUGGAGCAUGUGGUUUAAUUGGAAGCAACGCGAAGAACCUUACCAGGUCUUGACAUCCUUUGACCACUCUAGAGAUAGAGCUUCCCCUUCGGGGGCAAAGUGACAGGUGGUGCAUGGUUGUCGUCAGCUCGUGUCGUGAGAUGUUGGGUUAAGUCCCGCAACGAGCGCAACCCUUAUUGUUAGUUGCCAUCAUUCAGUUGGGCACUCUAGCAAGACUGCCGGUGACAAACCGGAGGAAGGUGGGGAUGACGUCAAAUCAUCAUGCCCCUUAUGACCUGGGCUACACACGUGCUACAAUGGGAAGUACAACGAGUUGCGAAGUCGCGAGGCUAAGCUAAUCUCUUAAAGCUUUUUUCAGUUCGGAUUCCAGGCUGCAAUUCGCCUGCAUGAAGCCGGAAUCGUUAGUAAUCGCGGAUCAGCACGCCGCGGUGAAUACGUUCCCGGCCCUUGUACACACCGCCCGUCACACCACGAGAGUUUGUAACACCCGAAGUCGGUGA